GGGUCAGUAGGUUGGUCGUGCCACCGGUACGUACUGGUCUCACUGAUUCCUCCUUCCUGAAGAGCCGUAAUGCCAUUAAUUUGGUGUUGCGGGGAAACAGGACUGUUACUUUGAAAAAAUUAGAGUGUUUAAAGCAAGCUAACGCUUGAAUACAUUAGCAUGGAAUAAUGAAAUAGGACGAUCGAUCCUAUUUUAUUGGUUUCUAGGACUGACGUA
rnacentral:rRNA from 1 species